rnacentral:rRNA from 1 species
AUGAACGCUGGCGGCGUGCCUAACACAUGCAAGUCGAGCGGUCUAGCACUCAACUGAGCGGAGCUUAGUCGAGUGAAUUAAAAAUUAAGAAUUAAGAAUGAAAAAGAACUUAAGAUCUUUCUAAUUAUUAAUUAUUAAUUAAAGACACUCAAUCCAACUUCGUUGAGAUGAGUGCUAGACAGCGGCGGACGGGUGAGUAACGCGUGGGCAACCUGCCCUAUGCAGGGGGGAUAACAUAUCGAAAGGUGUGCUAAAACCGCGUAAAGCUUAAGAAUCGCAUGAUUUUCAAGCCAAAGAUUUAUCGGCAUAGGAUGGGCCCGCGUCUGAUUAGCUAGUUGGUGAGGUAACGGCUCACCAAGGCGACGAUCAGUAGCCG